GCUAGGUGUGAUGACGUAUGCCUGUGUUCCCUGGUGCUGGGGAGGCUUUUAGGUCUCUUGAGCUUGGGAGCUCUGAGCUGCAGGGAACCAAGUUGGGCGCUUCCUUGGUGAGCCCUCAGGAGAGGGAGGUCACCAAGUUGCCUAAGGAGGGGUGAACUGGCAGGUUGCUAAGAGAGCAUGUUAAAGCUCCUGUGUCGAUCACAGUGGGGUUGGGCCUGUGAAUAGCUUAAGCAAGAUAGGAAGAUUCAAU
rnacentral:sRNA from 1 species